rnacentral:lncRNA from 1 species
AUAAUAAAAAUUAAAAUAUUACAAAUUUUAAUUUUAGGGGGCCAAAUUAAUUUUUUUAAUAUAAUUUUUGUCUCAAUUUUUUUUUUAAAAUUUUUUGGUCAUUUUACUUCAACUCUUACAGUCUUAUUCCUCUCUGAGCAUAUUGUUGUUAUUAGUGAAUCUGACAAAUUUUUUUUUUACUAUUCGAUGUCGAAUUUUUUUCCUACCAAAUCUAAAUCUUGGCCCCCCUCCCGAAUCUUAAUUUCUGGCUUCAUCCGCUAUAUAUUCCUAUUGCAUUUAUCAAACGUCUUUUCUCAUCCAAAAAAAAACAUAGCUUAAUUAUAUUACCUUUUUAAAAUUUAAUUUUGUGUCCAACACGGGACUUUUGGACAGUGUUUGGUUCGGAACAAGGGGGAAUAAGCUUUUGUUCUCCCUUUGUUCUCAAACGAGAAUUUUUGUAUCCGAAACAGUAAUUUUUGAAUUUCUGAAAUAAGCUGGUAUAAAACUGGAACUGCUGUUCUAUUCUUUUUGUUUAAACAAAUUUAUUCCCAAGUGGAAACUAAAUUAAUUAAAACCUAAAUUUAAUUUUAAUUAUAGUAUUAAAUUAUUAAUUAAGUUAAUUACUAUAUUUAAAUCAUUAUCCAUUCUUAAAUAAUAAAGUAAUUAAUUAAUUUAUGACUUACAAUUGAUUAGUUAAUUAAUUAUUAAUAAUUUAAUAUGUUUAACUAUAAAUUAAUAUUUAUAUUGAUAAACCAUUAAUAUUUUUAUUAAUCUAAUUAAUUUUUUAUUAGUUAUCUAACUAAAAUAAUUUACUCACUAAUUAAAAAUUAAAAUUUUUAAUAUUUAAUUAAUUAAUUAAUAUAUUUUAUUAGCUUAUACAAUAUUCAUAGCUAAUAAAUUUAUUAAUUUAUUAAAUUACUUUUAAGUAAUAUUUUAAAUUUAAUUAAUUAUAUAAAAUAAUUUUAAUUUAAAAUUAUAGCUCAAAUUUCUUUUGUUCUAAUCUAACCAUCCAAAUAUUAUUUAUCUUAUUUCUAUAAAUAAUUAAAUUUUUAUUUAAGCGUAAAAUUAAUUUAAUUCUCGUGUAUACCUAAACUUAUAGCUAUUUCUGAAAUAAAUAAUUUUUAUUUAUAUAUGAA